rnacentral:rRNA from 1 species
GGCGAAUGAAGCGGGAACAGCUCAAAUUUGAAAUCUCCGGCCCGACGGGGCCGGCGAAUUGUAGUUUAGAGAAACGCUCUCCAAGGCGGAUCACCCCAACGGUUCCCCGUCCAAGUUGCCUGGAACGGCACGUCGCAGAGGGUGACAACCCCGUACGAGGCGGGACCGGCCGCUCCGCGAGGGCGCUUUCCAAGAGUCGGGUUGUUUGGGAAUGCAGCCCAAAACGGGUGGUAAACUCCAUCUAAAGCUAAAUACGGGCACGAGACCGAUAGCGAACAAGUACCGUGAGGGAAAGAUGAAAAGCACUUUGAAAAGAGAGUUCAACAGUACGUGAAACCGUUAGAGGGGAAACGAAUGGCGUCAGCAAUGCGCCCGAUCGAGAUUCACGCGGCGGGGCGGGUCCGCGGCCGCUCUUCGCGGAUCCGAUCUCUUCUCCCCCCCUCGCGGGGGGUGCGCGAUCGGACCGCGGUCGGCCGGAGCUCCCGUCUUCCGCCGUCGCACUUCUCGCGGGCGCCGGUCAGCGUCGGUUGGCACCGGGUCUCAAGGGCGCUUGGAGGGAAGGUCUCGUUUGUUUAUAGCCCUCCGUGCCGUCAUGGCCCGGAGCCGACCGAGGAGCCGCGGCGCGUGCCGCCCAUCGGGCGGCUGGGGACUCUCGCGCACGGUCGGCGAUCUCGCGGCGGACUGCCUGGCAGUGCGUCGCGACGGUUUCUUGUUCGGCCGCGCCGGGAGAAAAGCUCCACACACGAUAGCGCGCCCAGGACGCUGGCGGUCAUAUGACCUCAUCCGACCCGUCUUGAAACACGGACCAAGGAGUCUAACAUGUGCGCGAGUCUUGGAGCGAGAGAGGCUCCCGGGCGCGAUGAGAGUGACCUAGGGUCGGAACCCGCCGUCGCAGACGGGCGGGCGCACGAUCGACCGACCUCGUUCUGCUCUCAAGAC